rnacentral:rRNA from 1 species
CACGUAGGGGGCAAGCGUUGUCCGGAUUUAUUGGGUUUAAAGGGUGCGUAGGAGGGCAGGUAAGUCAGUGGUGAAAUCUCCAAGCUUAACUUGGAAACUGCCGUUGAUACUAUCUGUCUUGAAUACCGUGGAGGUGAGCGGAAUAUGUCAUGUAGCGGUGAAAUGCUUAGAUAUGACAUAGAACACCAAUUGCGAAGGCAGCUCGCUACACGAAUAUUGACUCUGAGGCACGAAAGCGUGGGGAUCAAACAGG